CACGGGGGGAGCAAGCGUUGUUCGGAAUCACUGGGCGUAAAGGGCGUGUAGGCGGUCAAGCAAGUGGGAUGUGAAAUCCCCCGGCUUACCCGGGGACCGGCAUCCCAUACUGCUUGGCUUGAGUACGGGAGAGGAUGUGGGAAUUCCUGGUGUAGCGGUGAAAUGCGUAGAUAUCAGGAGGAACACCGGUGGCGAAGGCGCACAUCUGGCCCGAUACUGACGCUAAAGCGCGAAAGCUAGGGGAGCAAACGGG
rnacentral:rRNA from 1 species